CCUACGGGUGGCUGCAGUGGGGAAUAUUGGACAAUGGGCGAAAGCCUGAUCCAGCCAUGCCGCGUGUGUGAAGAAGGCCUUCGGGUUGUAAAGCACUUUCAGUGGGGAAGAAAGCCUUGGGGCUAAUACCCUCGAGGAAGGACAUCACCCACAGAAGAAGCACCGGCUAACUCCGUGCCAGCAGCCGCGGUAAUACGGAGGGUGCGAGCGUUAAUCGGAAUUACUGGGCGUAAAGCGCGCGUAGGCGGUCUGAUAAGCCGGUUGUGAAAGCCCCGGGCUCAACCUGGGAACGGCAUCCGGAACUGUCAGGCUAGAGGGCAGGAGAGGAAGGUAGAAUUCCCGGUGUAGCGGUGAAAUGCGUAGAGAUCGGGAGGAAUACCAGUGGCGAAGGCGGCCUUCUGGACUGACACUGACGCUGAGGUGCGAAAGCGUGGGUAGCAAACAGGAUUAGAUACCCCGGUAGUC
rnacentral:rRNA from 1 species